rnacentral:rRNA from 1 species
AGCCAUGCAUGUCUAAGUAUAGCGAUACGUACUGUGAAACUGCGAAUGGCUCAUUAAAUCAGUUAUUGUUUACUUGAUCGUACAAGAGUUACACGGAUAUCUGUGGUAAUUCUAGAGCUAAUACAUGCGAAAGGUCCUGCGUAAGCAGGAUGUAUUUAUCAGCGUUGAAACCAACUCACUCGGGUGAGUCAUGAUAACUGUUCGAAUCGUAUCUCUCCUUGCGAGAGACGAUGCUUCAUUGAAAUUUCUGCCCUAUCAACUGUCGAUGGUAAGGUCGUGGCCUACCAUGGUUGUAACGGGUGACGGAGAAUCAGGGUUCGGUUCCGGAGAGGGAGCCUGAGAGACGGCUACCACAUCUAAGGAAGGCAGCAGGCGCGGAAAUUACCCAAUCCCGAUUCGGGGAGGUAGUGACAAGAAGUAACGAUACGGGGCUCUUUACAGGGAUU